UUGAGCUCAGAUCAGGUAGGACUACCGCCUGAACUUAAGCAUAUCAAUAAGGCGAGGAACAGAAACCAACAGGGAUUCCCCUAGUAGUGGCGAAUGAAGCGGGAAAAGCUCAAGUUUGAAAUCUGGCGGGUGACCUCCAGAGUUGUAAGCUGAAGAGGCAUAGACCGACGCGGUCCGGGCUCAAUUUCCUUGGAACGGGAGGUCAUGGAGGGUGAGAACCCCGUCUGUGGCUUGGGUGCCGUCGUCCUUGUGUCUUGCCCUCGUAGAGUCGGGUUGUUUGGGAAUGCAGCUCAAAAUGGGUGGUAAAUUUCAUCUAAGGCUAAAUAUUGGCGAGGGACCGAUAGCAAACAAGUAGAGUGAUCGAAAGAUGAAAAGUACUUUGAAAAGAGAGUGAAACAGUACGUGAAAUUGUUGAAAGGGAAGCGUUUGGUAUCAGCCCAUGGCCGUCUCUGAUCAUCUGGGCUUCUGUCUGGUGCACUCGGAGGCGGUCGGGCCAGCGUCGACUUUGCCUGCUGGAGAAAGGUCCGAGGAACGUGGCUCCUUUGGAGUGUUAUAGCCUCGGGCGUCAUGCAGUGUGGCGGGGUCGUGGUCUGCGGUCUCCU
rnacentral:rRNA from 1 species